rnacentral:tRNA from 1 species
GCCGGCGUAGCUCAGUUGGUUAGAGCGGCGGACUCAUAAACCGCAGGUCGCAGGUUCGAUUCCUGCCGUCGGCACUA